AGCACUUUGUGUAUGUGCUUAUACAACCAGUAGAUAAAGUCAUGAAAGACAGGUACCAAAAUAAACCCUCUUUGCAACACAGAACUCAUUAUUCAGUAUGAGCUUUGAUACAUACAAGAAUAAAUAUG
ensembl:snoRNA